UCUCUCUCUCUCAGAAGACUCUCAGCUUCAUCUGUGUUACUUGGUGCUCGCACUGGAGACUCCUUCCUUCAAUAUUAAACACUAAAGCUCUCCAUAGAGAACGAUGAAAAAAUUCACCUGGUCAGUGACUACAUGUGCAAGGGGUCCCCCCCCACCCGUGAAUGAGUUGCUACUAUGGAAACCGUACGUAGGAUCAGAACAAACACCCUGAUGUAAACCUGCGCUAGUCUCCGAGUCUCUGUUCUAGAAAAUGAAUCGAUGCCUUUUCCUUCUGACCAAUCAGAUUUGAGAAUUGAGCGUCACUGAUUGAAUAAAUUUAUGAUGAAUUGCUGAAUCCUACUUGUGAGAAACAAGUGACUUUUUUUUUUUUUUUUUGAGUGAUCUAGAAAUAUCGUUCUGUCCCCAGGUAGCAGGUGAACGAGGACAUGUUUGAGGCUGCUCGAUUGCAUAACCCUGGGUCUGAUAUAAAGGUGACGCUGAUGUUAGGAAUCUGAUCGCAGGACGAGUUUGGUGUUGACACUUUUUUUUUUUUUUAAUUUCUUCACUGUGUGUGUGUGUGUGUUUGGUUGUUUUUGUUGGACUCGUUUUUCUUUCCACAUUUCAGAGUAGGUGAGUGCAAAUCCACAAACAAUCCCCAAACAAGAACCUGGCAAGGCUUCCUUUGAGCGAACAACGAAUGAGCGAGAGAGCGAGUAGGUCUCAGCGGCGCUAAAAUCAGGACGGGCCCCUGUGCGCCAGCGCUGGCAUUAUGUUUGCACUGCCUCGCUGGGUACGAGCCUGUGAUGUCAGCCAUUUUAGGUUGGACAGAACAGCGCGUGGUGUGCCGCCAUUUUUCCCCUCCUCUCUCGCUUUCUCUCUUUAUGUCUGUCUUUUUUUCCCUCCCAAAUCUGAGGUUUAACACCAUAGGUGCUGGGAAGAGCUGAUUCUCAGCCCGGGCUGUGUCGUGAAAAUGGCAUCCUGACGUUAAUCAGGACCUUUGAACCGGCCGGUGUGACGCUGCUGACGCUCUUCUGGGAGCUUUUACGCCACUGCGCUCGCUCAUUGAAAAGCAAAUGAAGCCAUCAGUGAAAGGAAAGGCUUCACACUGAAAGAGGGCCGGGCCAGUUUUGUGAUGCCUUAAAUACAACACCGACGUGCCCAUAAAAGAGGAGGAGUACUCAUUGUGGACUGAUGGUCAUGUUGCACACCAUCUUCCUCUCCAUGGACAGUUUAUAAAAAGCGGACUCUUGGUGACUGAGGCAUUUUGGUGGAGCUACCAUAUCAAAAGCCAUGGCUAGCAAGAGGAAGUCUACAAUUCCCUGCAUGAUUCCUGUAAAAACCAUGCAUCUACAGGACGAUCUUGAGCAGGGUAGGCUCUCUCCCUCUGUCAAGGAAAGCAGUUUCUCCCACAAGGGAGAGGCAAGCGAAAAAGCCUUCCAUAGUUUGUGUGACUCGUCAGGGCAGGAUGCUAGUAAUGCCCAAAAAGAUAAUGGCACUUACACCUGCAGGCUGUGCAAUUUUGAAACCCAUGACCUGAACCUCUUCCUUGAUCACGUCUACAGUGGGCAUCCAGAGUUCCGUACUGAUCCUUGCUUCCUCUGUGUAGACUGUGGGGUGAGUGCGGCAAAAUUUGAAGGUCUUGCCUUGCAUAAUGCCCGAGUGCACCCCAGUACUGUAACCAUGACGCUACAGCUAAAGAGGAAGGAUAGGAAGGUCACCGUGGAACAGAGCAUCAUCGCCGGUCCUGGUGAAAGCACUAGCUUCAAGGAAUCGGAGAUCUCCAUCACAAAGACGCCCAUUAUGAAAAUGCUGAAGGGGAAAACGGAGCCCAAGAGGAUUGUGGUUUCUCAUCCUGCCGCAGACGAAUCCGCAACUGUGAAGCAAGCGGAGACGGCAGAUUCUCCAGCAGUUUCGGUCACCCACGUUCCUACAAUCGUACACAAUGGUGCAGCAAGCAAAGUCACUUUGCCAUCUGCAAUACAGAUAGUCAAUGGUUCCGGAGCUCUUCCUAUGCUGAAGACAGCCAUCACCCAAGUUGUGUCUGUAGUACAGAACAGAAGUGUCAACCAGCAGUCGUCUUCGGCUUCUUUAUCCACUUCUUCGUCCACUUCAACAACUUCUUCGUCAAGCUCCAAAAACCUACCAAAGGUAAUGAUUCCUCUGAGCAGCAUUCCCACCUACAAUGCAUCCAUGGAUAACAGCAGCUUCCUGAAAACGUCCUUCAGCAAGUUCCCGUACCCAACCAAGGCCGAGUUGUGCUAUCUCACCGUAGUUACCAAGUACCCAGAGGAGCAGAUCAAAAUCUGGUUUACAGCACAAAGGCUUAAGCAAGGAAUUAGCUGGUCACCAGAGGAGAUAGAAGACGCCCGCCGGAAGAUGUUUAACACGAUCAUACAAACGGCACCCCCUGCUGCCCAGACUCAGCGUCAGACUCAGCAUAGCACCUCCCAGCAAACCAUUACAGUCCUACCAGCGUCCCUUGGUACAUCCAGCAUCCCUCACAUCUUACAAGGCAGCCUGGUUGGCCAAGGAGGCGUGAUCGUCACACAGCCCAUGAUCUCUAAUGGGAUACAGGUCAGCAGUGCCCCUGUUGCCCUGGCUGUAACACCCAAGCCCCAGGCAGCGGCCAAGCCCAUGAUGCAAGCAAAGCCUGCUGCCGCCCUGGUGGCUGAUAAGGGGCUGAGCAUGGUGGUGGGCAGUGUUGGAAGCAGCAAUAGUGGAAACAAUACCAUCAGUAGUAGCAGCAGCACAAGCAGUAUUAUAAGUAGUGUUAGCACAAACAGCAGUAGUGCAAGUAAUCACACCAGUGUGAUUAACAUGGGUGGCAACGGUAAAAUGAAAAGCAAUAGUAAGGUCAGCACAUCUAGCACGAAUGGCAGAAGCAGUACACCUGGCAAAACGGUUGAGAACAAAAACGGCACUAAUGUUAAGAAUACUGUAGCAAAAUGUAGCGCUGAUAUUAAAGACUGCACUGAUGCGAAAGGAAACACUAAUGAAAGCAAGAGCAGCCGAAGCAAUAGUCCCAAUGUUACAGCCAGCUCCAGUCCGACUCCAGCAACCACCAAUGACGGCACCCCAAGCAAGUCUGAAUCCCCAUCACCAGCAUCUGCCAACUCUCGCACUCUGCCCUCUGCUAGCUUCCUGGAUCCCAGCUUUUAUAAAGCCAAAAAAUCCCAGGAACAGCUAUCUGCCUUAAAGGAAAGCUUCCUCAUUAGCCAGUUCCCCAGUCAAGAGGAGGUAGAUAGACUGAUAAGUCUGACUGGUCUGACGGUUCGUGAGGUACGGAAGUGGUUCAGUGAUCGUCGCUACCACUUUCGCAAUCACAAGGGCUCAAAAUCAAGCACUGGUGGUCAAACUUCAACAGCCACUAGUUUUGCCUCCAGUGCCUCUGGCGACAGUGCAGACAAUGCUGCUUUGUUGGAAAGGCCCAGAACCCCUCAACAGGUACCUCUGAGUCCUUCACGGCAACAGCAGACGACGCCCCCGACGCCUACCCGACGUCAACCUCGACCCCCGUCCCCAGACUUCACAGCAAUACGAUACAAAGAAAGGGAGCCCCACCAGGUCCGCGCCCUCGAGGCAAGCUUUGCCCAGGAUUCCGAUCCGCCCGAGGAAGAGGUGGACAGGUUACGGGCAGAAACUAAAAUGACUCGACGUGAGAUCCAUGGCUGGUUUGCUGAGCGGCGGAGGAGAGUGGCAGCUGAAAAGAAAAAGGAGGAGUUAGAACGUGCAGAGAGGGAGGAAGAGGAGGAGGAGGAAGAAGCGGUGGGUGAAAAGGAUAAAAAUGAGACUGCAGAAGAAAAACAAGACAAUGAGGAAUCAUCAGAAACAAGCCAGCAGGUCAAGGAGGAUGCGUCUGGAACUGCCCCAAAGGUUAACCCGAUAAAGAUUAAUCUCAAAAUGCUGAAAGUCACCGAAGCGAAUGGAAAAGGUGAAAUGGAAGGAAGUCCACAACCAGAGAUGACUAAAGUGCCUUCUCCUGUCUCUCAGACAUCCACCCCUCCUCCGCCACCACAGUCAUCCCAAACACCAAAUCGAGGAAAGAAGACCCCAGAGCAGCUCCAUUUACUUAAACAAGCCUUUGCUCGCACCCACAGGCCCAGCAGCCCUCAGUACAACGAGUUAAUUGCCAAAACUGGACUGCCACGCCCAGAGGUGGUGCGCUGGUUCGGGGACUGUCGCUACGUCCUCAAGAACGGACAGCUCAAAUGGCUCGAGAGCUAUCAGGCAAUCGUAGAAGAGGAGGACUUCCAGAAAGGCAAUAUCUCUGUCCUUCAGGAGCAUUUCAGUACCUAUGGAAAUCUGGUGGAGAUGCAGCUGGAGGAGCUGGCCAGGUCCAGUGGGUUGAGCGAGGAACUGGUCAGGAAGUGGUUUGCAAAACAAACAAAAGCACACCCGCUGCCCGAGGACAGGAAGUCUGAGGAUGUGGAAUCUUCACCUUGCACAACCAAAGGCAAAGCUGCCUUAAAAUCGCUUCAACAGGAUGAAGGUGACGUGAAAGGAGAACCGAUGGAGCUGACAGUCACAGACCUUAGUACAGCUCCGACCACGAACAAGACAACUGGAGAAGACAAGUCUACCAGCGAUGAGCCAGGUUUUCAGCCCAGGGGACUGAGAUGGCCAGGGCAGCUGGAAGAUCCAACGACGACCCGGUUUUAGUUUCCAGAUUCUGAUCAAAAAUGUCCGGGUGUUUCAUGGAGCCCAUGAUGCCGUGGACCCUAACAAGGUUUCCAGGGCCUUUUGGAGGAAAAACAUCACAGAACCGCCACAAUAUUUUUUUUUACAGUUGGGAUCGGGUUCUUUUCAGUAUAGCCAUCCUUCUUUUUACUCCAAACCCACUGCGAGUGUUUAUUUGGGGGGGAAAAGCUCCAUUUCUGUUCCAUCAGACCAGAGAACAUGGUUCCAGUUAAAGUUGUUGGAGCGUUUCACAAACUUCAGGCGCUUACGUUUGUAGUUAAGUGACCGAAAAGGUUUUUCUCGAGCCUUCUAGAUAACCUGUUGGCAUGGAGGUGGAGUCUGAUGGUGGUUUUGGAAACCUCAUAUAUCUAUUUUUUUUCCCUCUCUUACCCUCCUCACUGUAUGUGAGGGCAAAAUAAACAUGACUCCUCUUCCAGGCGAGUGUGUAACCGGUCCCGUUGGUGUCCACCUUUUUAUUAUUGUCCUAACAGGACAUUUUCAGGCAAGUAGCUUUUUUUUUUUUUUAAAUAUAUACCCGUUCCUUGACUUUUUUUGAAGGUCAACACACGUCUCUCUUAUCUUUCCCAUGUUGAGGGAAUUUGGUCUCUGUGUCGCCUCAUAUUUGUUCCCCAGGAAGUCAUGGAUUCUGGUUUGAAAGUUCCUCCACACUCCAAUCAACUCACACAUGUACAAUUUAAAUGGAAACAUGCUUCAGUGUGACGAGUGACUCGGCCGUUUGUGGAACGGCGAGCGAGUGUGUUUCAGUGUAGGAGAGCAAAACACACACGUCUCGCUGUAGGAUGUCCACCAUAGGAGGCCUUUUACUGGAGUUUUGUGAAGAAUCCAGCACUCGACGUCAUUGUUUGUUUUUUAACCCAACAAAAGCAUCACGGGACAUUCUUUUUAUUAUUACACCCCCCCCCCCCCUUUUUUUUUUUUAGGGUGAGAAGGAUGCACGCACGCACACACACUGUACACAUGAUGGAUUGUCUGGAUGUUCGCUAACGAUACGCAGAAGGUUUUGAGGUACGCGCAAAGAAAAAGUGAUUGAUACUGCACAGCUCUCUGUGAGCUCUUUUUAAAAGAAGGAGAAAAAAUCCUGAAGGACACCAUGCCCAGGAGACGUUUACCCGUAUUCCUUAGUUCAAGCAAGUAUUCGGCGUCACAUUUCCUCCUUUGUGUACAUUUUUCCUGACAGCAGUAAUGAGAGGAGAAGAAAAGGAAAAAAAUUGUUUAAAAAGUGGUUCAGCAUUAUGGAUACUCUUUAGGUUUGUUGUAUAAUUUUUACAGAUAUUUGCAGAAUAAAUACAUCUAAAAAGCU